rnacentral:lncRNA from 1 species
GGAAAUGUAUCCGGGCUAAAGUCCCGCAGGCUUCGUGCUGGAAAUGUAUCCGAGCUAAAGUCCCGCAGGCUUUGUGCUGGUAAUAUAAUUUCGGGUUUUAUACCUAGCAGGCCAAGUCCCGAUGAAUUUGAUAAAAGUAUACAAUUACAAGAUCCUACACUAAGUUGACAAAUUGAAAGUGCAUUACAUAUUAAGUUGGCCAGGUACGUAUCAUGUACUCGUAUGUGAUUUGAUUUGAACUAAAUUAUAAAUAUAUAAAGUGAUGCAUCUGUGAAUAAGUGUUAUGACUAUAUAUGUGAUCGUGAUAUAUUCGGUAAAUGUGUGAAGUUAUGUGAAGUGAUUUUAUGUUUAUAUUCAAAUAUAAACACAUGGUCAUUGUGGAAAGGUUUGUGGAAGUAUAUGAUUUAUUUUUAGGUGAUUACGAUCAUGGAAAAUUAAAUGUGAAUAUUAUAUUGUAUUUUAUUCGUUUCAAUUGAACUAAAGCUGUUAGUGAAGCAUUUUAAUGCCUAUGUUAUAUGAGUUCGAUCUUGAAUGACAUGAUAUACAUGUUUAGAUAAUUUGAAUGCAAGGAAUGUGUGAAAGUGCAAAUUGUAAUAAAUCUGCUUGGGACAGUAACAGUAGCGUGAUUUUGGAAAAUCACCAUAAAUUGUGGAAAUUGAAUUAGAAGCUGAAUAAAUUAUUUAAUUAAAGCUUAAUGAGUCUAGUUUCUUAUAAAAGAAACCUUGUAAGUAAAAUAAUUGUAGAUAAUGAGAUAUUUGAAGUGGCGUAAGAUAGAGUCAAAAUGACUUUGAAAUCCCCUGUUCUGUUUUUAGAAAAUCAUUGUAAUUUGUACAAUGAUGAUUAUAAGAUAAAAUUUAUAUACUUAGACUCCUUAAUGAGUCUAGUUUCAAAUGAAAUAAACGAUAACAUAAUUCUAAUUCUGUAUAAUGAGAAAAUUGAUUCGUAGUGAAGAGCGGUCAGAAUAGUCAAACAGUGAAAUAGGGGAAACUUCAAUAAAAAUCUGGUAUUGAUUGGUCAAACCAAAAAUUCUGAAAAUUUGACGGAUGUAAGAUAUAUGAGUCUAUUUUUAGGGAAAAUUAACGUCACUUGAUUUGGAGUUUCUUAGCUCUAGUUAUAAACAAUUUAGUGACUGUUGCUCAGGAAGACAGCUUGUAGUGAAUUUGUGAUUUUGUUGUAAACAUGGUUAAAACUAGUUAAUGAGAUACUUUUCGAGUUCUUAUGAUCUUAUUUGUGAUUUGAAUAUUUGGUUUUAAUUGAGUUCAGGUUCAAGUGAGAUGAAUUUGCUAAAUAUGCAUUAUGUUCAUGGAUACUUGGCCAAAAUGGCAAUUACCUAGGAAUGAUUUCUUGAAAUUUUGAAAUAAUCGAUCUAUAAGUAAAUUAAUUGUUUGCAUUGCUUAAAAUUUACUAAGCAUUGAAGCUUACUCCGUGUUCUCUUUUCCAUUUCUUAUAGGUUUAUCCUUUAAUUCGAGUUGGAAGAGCCGGAGAUAUCAUCACACUAUCGAGUCAUUAUGUGAGUUGAGAAGAUUGUAUAUCAUCAUGGUUUAAGGCAUGUAUAGGAUAGACUAUAGGUAGAAUGAUAUUUCGACUUUGUAUACAUUAUAGCCAUGCGAAAAUGGCUUGCUCAUUUUGUUUAGAGAAGCCUUAUAAUUGAACUAAUGUGUUGAAAUGUUUUAGUUAUAACUUGAUAGUAGUUAUUUUGUUAUUAGAUAUUCGGUUGUGUUUUGAUAGUUAGUCAUUUUGGAAAUUUAUAAGAGCUCUUAUGGAAAAUCAAUGAGACAGGUUUGCAUUGUUGAUAAUUUAUGUCUGGUAAGUAUCUUUGACCUUAUAGAAGUUUUGUUCAGUCAAGUAAUACCUCAUAACCUUAUUCCGGCAACGGAUACGGGUUAGGAGUGUUACAUUUAGUGGUAUCAGAGCUAUGAUUUAGUCGAUUCUCGGACUAAUCUAACGUAUGUGAGUCUAGCUAUACAUGCCAUAUUACUACUCGUGAUAGUGUGACAUCUCUCGGCUCUAACGAAAUUGUUUUGUAAGACAGAUAUGCUUUCCAAUCGAGCUAAUUCUGAUAGUAUAGAAUGUUAUACUCAAACGUUUGAGUGAAAAUGUGUUGGUAAUGAGUUGAAACUCAUAAAAGGUAUGAAUCAGAAUGCAUGAUAUUCUGCUAUUGAUAAAUGUUAUAAUUAUAUGAGUAUAUGAGUUAUGAGGUUGAGUAUAUGAUGGUUGUGUGAAUAUUUUGACUUAGAAUUUAUGAUUUGAAUUAGCGUAUGAGCUAUGUGUUAAGUACCAAGUGAUCAUAAGUAAAUAAUUACUAGAUGUUUGAGAAUACAAAAUUAGUAAUGAACUGUUCGUUCAUAAUAGUAUGUGUGAUGUGCAUGUUUACGUAAGAGUUAAAAUUGUUGGCUUUACAACCCUCACCCUCUCAUCGGUAAAGCAUUGUAAUGAGAUCCGUACUAUAUGGAUUAAAUACGCUUACGAGUGUGAAAUUAUAGAGUUUCGUGGUUGAAAGAUUAGUAUUGUGAUCAAAUAAGAGAAUGAGUCCGCAAGUGAAGACAGUAACAGAAAAUAUAUUGGAUCAUGUUGAAGGCCAUUCGUAAUAUGCCAAUUCACUGUUAAAGAAGAAGUUGAAUUCGAUGAGAUGAAAUUAUUCAGGUAUGAUGUCUAAAGAACGUAUUAACUGGAAGUUUUUCUGAAUUGAUUUCUGUUAGUAAUGGAAUAUUGUGAAAUUGGUGAUGAUAGAAUUAGACAGUAGGAUAAUGUUUGAAUUGAAAUGAUAGCUGAGUGCAGUGAUUAUAGUCGGGCAGUUACUACGUUUUCUUCUGGGCAUUCUAUGUGUACAUUUAUCCUCAGAGGUAUGUAUAACUGUAUAUUUCAAAUGAAAAUUCUUAUCAUAUGAGAACAUCAUCUAUAUAUAUUGAUAUAUGAAAGCAUUGUUGGGCUAUUCGGGUUACAAUUGACAUUAUUAUAUCUUUCUAUGGUAUCCUAUUUCAUUUUAUUGAAAGAAAAGAUCUACGAUAGAAUCUGUGUGAUGUUGGUAUUUUGAUCCUACUAGUUUUUUAUCUACUUAGUAUACAUGAAGAUUAUAUUGUUUCUGUUACCGUUAAUUCUGGUGCAUGUGAGUGAUGUUUUACUUCUGGAUUUCCUCUGAGACAUCACUGAGAUAUCUGUCAUCUGAUAUGGGCGCUUUCUUAAAAAGAUCAGUAUAGUGAUAUAUUUGAGAUUACAGUAUCUCUUCUUUCUUAUGAUUCUAUAUGGUUAUCUGUGAAAAAUAUCUUUUAAAUGAUGUAAUAUUUAUCAAUAAAGUGAUAAACAGUUGAAGAAAUUGUUAUUGAAGUGCCAGUUCUCAAGUAAAGAGUUAUUCGACACAAGAAUUAAAAAUGGUUCGAACUGUUGAAAGAUUAUGAGUCAGUGAUUGAUUAUCAAUCUGGGCAAAUGAUUAUAGUCUUUGGGGUUCUGAGCGAGAAUCUUUAUGUGUUUUACGACCGACAAUCAUGUGAUUAAUCUUAUCAAAUGAUGAGUAGUUAUUGGCUGAGCUAGAAACUAAAUUGAUGUUUAAUCAACAAAUUUGUAAGGCUUUGUAUGGUCGUAAAUGCCGAACGCCAUUGUAUUGGACUGAGCUCAGUGAAAAUAAGAUACACGGAGUCGAUUUGAUCAGAGAAACUGAACAGAAAGUGAAAGUGAUCCGUGAAAGUUUGAAAGUAGCGUUAGAUCGACAUAAAUCUUAUGCGAACUUGAAACGGAAAGAUAUAGAGUUUCAGAUCGGAGAUAAAGUUUUCUUGAAAAACUCACCGUGGAAGAAAAUACUUAGAUUCGGUCGUAAAGGCAAAUUGAGUCUGAGGUUUCUUGGGUCUUAUAAGGUUAUAGAACGUAUCGGGCCGGUUACUUAUAGAUUUAUUGUUGCCACCUGAGUUAGAAAAGAUCCAUAAUGUAUUUCACGUUUCGAUGCUUCGGAGGUAUCGAUCUGAUCCAUCACAUGUGAUUAGUCCGUCUGAGAUUGAAAUUUAGCCUAAUAUGACCUACGAAGAAGAACCGAUUCGCAUUUUGACUCGUGAGGUUAAAGAGUUAUGGAAUAAGAAGAUUUUGUUAGUUAAGGUAUUCUGGCAUAAGCAUGGAGUUGAAGAAGCAACAUGGGAGCUAGAGGAUACAAUGAGAGAACGUUAUCCGAACCUAUUCACUGGUAAGAUUUUCGGGGACGAAAAUCCCUAAGGGGGGAGAGUUGUAACAGCCCGAUUUAGACCCUAAACAGAACGGUGGUUUCGGGACCAUGAAUCUGAGUCAGAAAAAUAUUUUUAAAAUAUUUUCUAUGUUUAUUUUGUGUGAAUUUAUAUCUGUGAAAAUUUCGUAAUUUAAUUUUGUCGUUUGGGUGUCCGAUUAAAUAAUAGGACUUAAUUGCGUAAAUUGAAAAUUUGAUAGUUUAAAGUAAGAGGGCCAAAUAGUUGGUGAUUUUCUAAGUUGGAGUAUUUAUAAUGUAACUAUUCCAUUGACAUGUGGCUUGUACGGUAAUGGACAUAGGUUAUAUAAUUUUAUUACUAUUUCAUUAAGGUUAGUUAGGUAAAUUAAUAAUAAAAUAAUAUAUGUUAUUAUAUCAUAAAAUAAUAAGCCACAUUCAUGUUAUUUCCUUCAUCUUUGCACCGAAACUAAAACAAAGAAAAAGAAAGAAAACAAAGUAGGGUUCGGCCUUGUUCAAGCUAGAUUAAGGUAAGUGUUCAGCUCAGUUUUUGAUAAUUUUUUCGUUUUUGAAAUCGUUGCUUCGAACAAAACCCAUGCUUGAAAUUUUGAUUUUGAUGAAUAUUUUGAGUUGUGUCAUUGUUAAUAGCUUGUGAUUUUUUUUGUUUGAUGAUGAAAAAUAAAAGAUAUGUUUUAGAUUAACAUAUUUUGUAUUGGAGUUUUUGAUGAUUUUGAGUAAUAAGGACUUAAUUGCAAAAAUAAUAAUUUAAGGGACUAAAAUAUGAAAUAAAUGAAAUAAAUGGGCUUGUAUGAACACUAGGAAUAUUCGGCCAAACAUGGGUACCUUGAAAUUUUGCAUAUUUUGUGUUUUGUGCAAUAGGGAUUAAAUUGUAAAAAUUGUAAAUGUCAGGGGUAAAAUGGUAAUUUGACCAUUUAUGUGUUUUUGGACUAAAUUGAAUGAAAAUAUGUUUGAAUGAGCUUAAUUUGAAUAUUUUUAGAUCAAGAACCAAAGAAAUCGGAUUUGGACUAGGAAAAAACGAAAGUUGUCGACUAGCAGCUCCGUCCCGUUUUACGACGUCUGAGGUAAGUUUAUAAGCAAAUACACAUGCCUAAAUGUAGUUAAAUGUUAAGUAUAUAUGCUGGUAUAUAAUAUAUGAAUUUAUACUUGUAAAUGCCGAAUGUGUAUGAGUUUGAAAACUAUGUUCGAGCUUUCGAUUCGACCGAGUUACGACGUUCGAAAGCCCUGUAUGAACCUUAGGAAUAGUUAGGAUACAUAUGUCAUGAAACAGGAUUUCGACAUUUGUGUUCCUUGUGUAUGAUUAUUGAACCAAAAGUUAAAGGGUAGGUGUACAUUUUGUGCUUAUAUUCGAAUGAAGCAAUUGAAUUGCUAAUGUGAUAUGUUAUGUGAAAUGUGUUAACAUGUGAAUAAAUAAGCAAGACACUGGAAAUGUAUCCGGGCUAAAGACCCGCAGGCUUCGUGCUGGAAAUGUAUCCGGGCUAAAGUCCCGAAGGCUUCGUGCUGGAAAUGUAUCCAGGCUAAAGACCCGCAAGCUUCGUGCUGGAAAUGUAUCCGGGCUAAAGUCCCGCAGGCUUCGUGCUGGAAAUGUAUCCGAGCUAAAGUCCCGCAGGCUUUGUGCUGGUAAUAUAAUUUCGGGUUUUAUACCUAGCAGGCCAAGUCCCGAUGAAUUUGAUAAAAGUAUACAAUUACAAGAUCCUACACUAAGUUGACAAAUUGAAAGUGCAUUACAUAUUAAGUUGGCCAGGUACGUAUCAUGUACUCGUAUGUGAUUUGAUUUGAACUAAAUUAUAAAUAUAUAAAGUGAUGCAUCUGUGAAUAAGUGUUAUGACUAUAUAUGUGAUCGUGAUAUAUUCGGUAAAUGUGUGAAGUUAUGUGAAGUGAU